rnacentral:rRNA from 1 species
AGAGUUUGAUCCUGGCUCAGGAUGAACGCUGGCGGCGUGCUUAACACGUGCAAGUCGAACGAUCCUUCGGGAUAGUGGCGGACGGGUGAGUAACGCGUGGGAAUCUGCCCUCAGGAGGGGGAUAACGGCUGGAAACGGCCGCUAAUACCCCAUAUGCCGAGAGGUGAAAUGAAUUUCGCCUGAGGAUGAGCCCGCGUCUGAUUAGCUAGUUGGUGGGGUAAAGGCCUACCAAGGCAACGAUCAGUAGCUGGUCUGAGAGGAUGAUCAGCCACACUGGGACUGAGACACGGCCCAGACUCCUACGGGAGGCAGCAGUGGGGAAUUUUCCGCAAUGGGCGAAAGCCUGACGGAGCAACGCCGCGUGAGGGAUGAAGGCCUCUGGGCUGUAAACCUCUUUUCUCAAGGAAGAAGACCUGACGGUACUUGAGGAAUAAGCCACGGCUAAUUCCGUGCCAGCAGCCGCGGUAAUACGGGAGUGGCAAGCGUUAUCCGGAAUUAUUGGGCGUAAAGCGUCCGCAGGCGGCCUUGUAAGUCUGUUGUUAAAGCGUGGAGCUCAACUCCAUUUAAGCAAUGGAAACUACAAGGCUGGAGUGUGGUAGGGGCAGAGGGAAAUCCCGGUGUAGCGGUGAAAUGCGUAGAUAUCGGGAAGAACACCAGUGGCGAAGGCGCUCUGCUGGGCCAUAACUGACGCUCAUGGACGAAAGCCAGGGGAGCGAAAGGGAUUAGAUACCCCUGUAGUCCUGGCCGUAAACGAUGAACACUAGGUGUCGGGGGAAUCGACCCCCUCGGUGUCGUAGCCAACGCGUUAAGUGUUCCGCCUGGGGAGUACGCACGCAAGUGUGAAACUCAAAGGAAUUGACGGGGGCCCGCACAAGCGGUGGAGUAUGUGGUUUAAUUCGAUGCAACGCGAAGAACCUUACCAGGGUUUGACAUCCUGCGAACCCCUGAGAAAUCGGGGGGUGCCUUCGGGAGCGCAGAGACAGGUGGUGCAUGGCUGUCGUCAGCUCGUGUCGUGAGAUGUUGGGUUAAGUCCCGCAACGAGCGCAACCCACGUCUUUAGUUGCCAGCAUUCAGUUGGGCACUCUAGAGAGACCGCCGGUGAUAAACCGGAGGAAGGUGUGGAUGACGUCAAGUCAUCAUGCCCCUUACAUCCUGGGCUACACACGUACUACAAUGCUACGGACAAAGGGCAGCAAGCUCGCGAGAGUUAGCAAAUCCCAUAAACCGUGGCUCAGUUCAGAUCGUAGGCUGCAACUCGCCUACGUGAAGGAGGAAUCGCUAGUAAUCGCAGGUCAGCAUACUGCGGUGAAUACGCUCCCGGGCCUUGUAC